CAUUCAGUGAAUUAAAUAUCAAUACUCUCACUGGCCAGAAGGGAUUAAUCACCAACACGGAGCCUCUAAGAGUGCAUUUUUAAACUAGCAGGAUUUGUUCAGCUGGAUUACAUUUUAGGGGAGAUGUUAUUUUAUAGAAGUGAAGGCUCUGCUGUAGUGGGCAGCUGUCUAGGUGGCUUUUGAGAACAGGAAGACGACUGUCAGUGAGACAGCUAUCACUGAUCCAGGUGUGCCGGCUAGACACAAGUAGAAUUACCAGAGGAACAACUGUCCUCAAGUAAACAAGCAACUUAGACCAACGAGAGGUGCAAUUCUAUGAGUUCUACUUUCAUUGUUUUUUUUUUUAUUCAUCCCCUUCAGUCUUUACUUUUGCUUUUAGUUGACACAUAAUAAUUGUAUGUAUUUGUGGGGUAUAGUAUGGUCAUUAGAUACAUGUAUACAGUGUGUAAUGUUCAAAUCAGGAUAAUUAGUAUUUCCAUCUUUUUUAAAAAAGACUUAUUUAUUUAUAUGAAAGGCAGAGUGAGAGAUAGAAAGAGAGAUCUUCCGUUGGCUGAUUCACUCCCCAAUUGGCCACCAUAUUUAGGGCUGGGUCAGGCUGAAGCCAGGGCCAGGAACUCCAUCUGGGUCUCCCACGUAGAUGCAGGGGCCCAAGUGCUUGGGCCAUCACCCACUGCCUUCCCAGGUGCAUUAGCAGGGAGCUAGAUCAGAGGUGGAGCAGCCAGGAGCUGAAUUGGCACUACCGUGUGGGAUGCCAGCAUCACAGGUGAUAGCUUAACCUGCAGUGCUACAGUGCAAGUCCCCAGGUCCAUCUUAGACACCUAUACUUUCUUUGUGUUGGGAAUAUUCAAACUCCUCUUCUCAGUCUUUACAAACUAUAUACUAAAUUGUUGUAAUCUGUAGUCCCUGUACCGUGCUGUGCAACACUAGAAUGUAGGCCUCCUACCAGGCUCCCUGUACCCUCGGGUGACCACUACUCUGCUGUGAGGUCAGCCCACUAGAACGUAGGCCUCCUACCAGGCUCCCUGUACCCUCGGGUGACCACUACUCUGCACUGCUGUGAGGUCAGCCUGUUUCACUCUGCAUGUGGGUGAUACUGUGCAGCAUCUCCCUCUCUGUGCCUGGCUUAUUUCACUCAGCACAAUGUCCUCCAGUCCCAUCCAUGUUGCCGAAAAUGACAGGGCUGAAUAAUAUCCCAUUAUGUCCUAGACCAGAUUGGCUUGAACCAUUCAUCCAUUGAUGGCCCAUCAGGUUGAUCCCACAUCUCGGCUAGAGCUCCAUCUUUUCUGUAGUGAGCCUUUAAUAGUCUUUACAUGUUACCUGUCACUCUCACAGGCUCGUGUUACACCAAAUGGUGAACUGCUCUAGGUUUUCAUUCUUCCUCUGGGUUUAAGACCACCGUGUUUCCCAGGCCCUUGAUCCAAAGACCCUUCCGAAGUUCACCUAAAUUUCUGAACUUGUAAUUUCUUCUUUUAUCCCAUUUGUUUCAUCCCACUUAUUUUCUACCCACCUGCUCUCUAUAGAAACAUACAGGUGAUGGUUGGUGAAUAUUUUAUGUAUUUGAAAGGCAAUAACUCCAUCCGAGUCUUUGCUGGCUCUCAGGCGCAUCAGCAGGAAGCCAGAUUAGAACACUAAAAGGUACUCUAGCAACGUGAAGCUGACAUUUGAGACGCAAUGACUCUGAAGAGCCCUUGUCUCGACUGGUGAGGAACAGUUUUUUCCUACUAUUUGUUGAACUCUUGACAUAGAGCUAAUUAUAUAUAUAUAGAGUAAAUUGAAAAUAGAUCCUAGUAAAAAAUAAGAAUGGGACUAGGAGAGGGAGGAGGGAUCAGGUGGGAGAGUGGGUGGGAGGGCAAGUACAGUGGGAAGAAUCACUAUGCUCCUGAAGUUGUAAUUGUGAAAUGUCUGAUGUUUGUAUUUCUUAAAUAAAAGGUUUCUGGGGGAAUAGAAGAAACUAGAUUAGAAGCAAAGGCAGCACUCAAUCCCAGACACUCUGAUAGAGGAGGAGGCAUGCCAAGUGGUGGCCUAACCCACCGUGCACGAUGCCUCCCCGGGUGGUGCAUAUUUUAACGACUACUGCCGUCCGAAACUGCAGGAGUCACAAUCCUAAAGAUCUAGAGCCCAUGUUUAUUCUCUCUUGUUUGGGUAAAACACAUAACAGAGCAUGACAGUUUAUAAUAGAACACUGGAGUUAAAAAUGCCAGGGCCAGGGGCCAGGGCUGUGGCACGGUGGAUGAAGCUACCACCUGAGACACUGGCACCCCAUAUCUGUGCCACUUUGAGUCCCUGCUGCUCCAUUUCCAAUCCAGCUCCCUGCUAAUGUGCCUGGGAAAGCAGCAGAAGAUGGCCCAAGUGCUUGGGCACCUGCACCCACAUGGGAGACCAGGAAGAAGCUCCUGGCUCCUGGCUUCGGCCUGGCCCAGCCCCAGCUGUUGCCAUUUGGGGAGUGAGCCAGCAGGUAGAAGAUCUCUCUCUUUCUCUGUCUCUCCCUCUCUUGUGAAACUUUGCCUUUCAAACAAAUACAUCUUUAAAAAAUCCAAGGUCCAGUUCUUCCUACCACCUUAGUGGAUGCUGGCCAAACACUUCUCCCCUCCUGAGCCUCUGUCUUCUCGGAUGUAAAAUGAAAGAUUCAACCUGAAUCAGGCUGACACUUUAAUUAUGAGCCUCAGUAAAUAUGUUUACCACAUUGUGAUCCACACGCACACACACAGGAUCAAUGUUUUAUACAAUAAUACCUUGUUUACUGUAUAAGAACCACUCUGUUCUGUUCCAUUUUGCUUUUCGUGAAAAGUAAAACAAAUUCAGGCUGGCCAUGAGCUCUAAGCUGAUUUUAGAAGCGCUAGGGAGUCAAAAUCGGCUUUGAAAAGCAGAGGCCAGAUUACACCUGCAGUCCACUCCAGUCACAAUCCAACAAGCUGUGACUCAACAGCCCCUAUCGGCCUGCAUUAGACAGCCGUCCUUGGUGCCUGUCCUCGCCUCAGCGUGGUUUAGGAGUCUGAGAAUCCUCUGACAACAUCGGUCGCAGCCCACUGCUGGCAGCCAAGCCAGGCUGAAACGCUCACCCUCCCAGCAUGAGGCCCCGGUGCGCGGCGGCAGGCCCGGGUCGGCACUGCCUACCUGAUAGCACCUUCCCUCUUGUGCUUCAACUGUUCUUGAAAUUAUCCCCUAGUCUUGACCCAGAAUCUUCUAAGCUAAAAGGCUUAAAAAAUGUAUCAGCUGACAAUUUAAAAUGCCUCUCUGUAAGACUGUAGUGGUGGGUGAACAGCCAAGGAAUUCACUUGGUUAUCCUACCUUAGGUAGGUACGGCCAGCUGACUGCUGACUCCCAAGGGGACGGGGCAGCAAGACGGAAUGGCCUGGAAACUGGAAGUAGACCCAUUCACUUGGGUGAACUGGGCAGACAUGGACAGACAGGUCCCAGCUGAUGGGAAAAGCACAUGUUUAAAGGGACAGGAGUUGUUAACUCCCUACCUAGAAAACUCUGAUCAUAGCAGACAGUCCAGGAAACUGCCUGGACCAGAGGAGGCUAAGAAUUGGCUCAGGGCAUCGAGAAGCCUCCAGGCCCUGGAAGAGAAGUGUGGAGAGAACCGAAGCAAGACCUGAGGCCAGGGACCCAGGAAGGGACCAGGCACGGCACUCAGCCUAAGACUCAAAGUACAGCUGAUUCCUGCUACUAUCAGGUGGGGGGAAGAGGUCCAUCCCGGCUG